AAUCGGUUCAGAAAUCUCGGAGAUAUCAGUGCAUAGAUAGAAAAACACAACUCCAUUUUUAAAGUCGGUUAAAAAAGUAGCCUAUGUUACUCCUUGGUUAAUACUCUAGGUACUUGUCUAUGAAAGUCCCAUCAAAAUAGGUUUAGUCAUUCCGAAGAUUAGCCCGUUCCAACAGAUAGACAGACAA